GCCCGUUUAAUGCAAGAGCCACUGAAACUAGAUAUUGUUAUUAGCUUUCCAGAUCAUGGCUUUCAUCUUUGUUUUGAUCCUUGGUCGCAGGUGUUACAUUACUUUAUAUAUAUUCAUUUGUUUAGGUUUUCUCUCUGUGCUUCAUUGUGAGCAUGUGAUCUGGAAGAUUCUUUUCUUCUAAUUAUCAAUGAGAUGAGGGAACUAUUAAAGAUUAAUUUUUGUACCUAAUGAAGCAAUUAGUUUAGUAGCUUUAAUCACUAAUACAUUGUUUUGAAAGAUCACCAUUCUUCUUCCAUAUGUGGCAAGACCUUGUGCGAUCCAGAGGUUUAAGGUGAUGCCUAUGUCACAGAAUUAAGCUUUUGUUUUCUGACUCGUUGGGCAAAGAGGUUCCUUCUUGUAUUUUUCUGGAUACCCACUCUUUUUAGUUUACUCCUCUUGAUACCUAUCAUUUUUUAUCUCCACAUUUGAUCUGAUAGUGACAAUGGCAGUCUCUAAAGCGUAUUCUCUGAGAGCUAAUCCUUGCAUUCUGAUAUUAUCUCUGUUAUCAUUAUUAUUAUUUUGGAUCUAUGAUUGUUGUUAAAAAUGGUCUUUUACCAUUUAUAUUGCACGUCAGGUUAACUCCACAUAAGGAACUCAUGCUAAGGACUACAAAGGAUAUAAAAAACAAUAGAAUCUAUUGCUUGAAAAUGGAUGAUUUUAAUGUUUCUUGCAAGCAUGAUAAUACAUACAUGAUCACUCCAAUCUGUUAAAAUUGUCAACUUGUGACCUUAAUGGAAAUAAAUCCAAUCUAUUUUUGAUCUACAAUUGUUGUUAUAAAUGGUCUUUUUUGUGGGUUUCCAAUUCGCAUAAUGGAUAAAUCAAUCAUUGGAUUUGAGUAAUUGCCUUUUGGUAAUUGCAUAGAACUAUAGAUGGGCUAUCUGCCUCAUUGGAUCAGCUAUUGCAAUUACUUUAUGCUAUGAGGCCCAUUCUCAUUUGAGUUUUGAGGGAUUCAUAUUGGCACUGUAUUCUGACUUAUCAAAAUAAAAUGUUGGUACUGUAUUCUCUGUAAUUUGUUGGUGGGUGUCCAUUUUAUUUUUAAAGGGUGUGAUAAUGCAUUUUGGUGCUGUAUCUUGUGCGACUAGUGUGACCUAAUAGGUGUUCAGCCUCGUGCCUUGCUGCCAUAAGUUAAUUAUCUAUCCAAAACAGAAAUUUAUGAUUACAUCAUGAUGCAUUUUGAUUAAUGUAACUUUGAUUAAUGCAUCAGACCCUUGUCCGCGGACAACACUAUGGUGAUUAUUUCUACAACUAUUUUACACGUGGUUUAGACAUCUUAUUUUAUGGACAGACUCAUAAGAUCAAGAAGUUUGUUUUGCAUACAAACUAUCCUGGUCAUGCAGAUUUCAAUUCGUGCAAUUUUAUUAUCUUUGGUUCAGAUGUUGAGGGGUCUUUUGAGGAUGUAAGCAAAUGGCAGCGGACAGACGAUUGCACCAAGCACUAAGUGGCAGCAAUUGAAGGUUGUCUGAAUUGGAUGCUGACACGGUCACUGGCCUGCAACCCGACUCAGACAAGCCAGAUUUGGGGCCGAUCCGAUCCGGCCCGUCAAUGGGACUACACGAAAAUGGUCCGCAACGACCCGCACUAUUCAGAUUGGGUUCAACUGUCGGUUUUAAAAUUUAUUUAUUAUUUAAAAAAGAAAAAAUCUUUGUCUGCGCUCCAGAAAAUCCACCUCUCCAAUUUCAAGAAACCUCAAACACUGGACCUCUGAAGAAGCAAAAAGAACAAGAAGGCAGAGACAAUAACAAUGGCAAGGAUGAUUUUGAGUUCGCUUUUGUUUGAAGUUUCCAUCACUAUUUGAUAUACUCAGCUUUUGUAUUAAUUUCUAAAACAAGCACGUCGACCGAGAGGCUCUUUAACUUUUAAUCGGGUGAAUUAAGAUGCCUUAGUUUUAUGUUCUGGCAA